CCUACGGGGGGCAGCAGUGAGGAAUAUUGGUCAAUGGACGAGAGUCUGAACCAGCCAAGUAGCGUGAAGGAUGACUGCCCUAUGGGUUGUAAACUUCUUUUAUAAAGGAAUAAAACGAGGCACGUGUGCCUUUUUGCAUGUACUUUAUGAAUAAGGAUCGGCUAACUCCGUGCCAGCAGCCGCGGUAAUACGGAGGAUCCGAGCGUUAUCCGGAUUUGUUGGGUUUAAAGGGAGCGUAGAUGGGUUGUUAAGUCAGUUGUGAAAGUUUGCGGCUCAACCGUAAAAUUGCAAUUGAUACUGGCAGUCUUGAGUACAGUUGAGGUAGGCAGAAUUCGUGGUGUAGCGGUGAAAUGCGUAGAUAUCACGAAGAACCCCGAUGGCGAAGGCAGCUUACUAAACUGUGACUGACAUUGAUGCUCGAAAGUGUGGGUAUCAAACAGGAUUAGAUACCCCGGUAGUC
rnacentral:rRNA from 1 species